GUUUCAUUCCAGGCUACACCCAAAAUAAGGCAGCUAGACGUCAUUUGGGAGCACUGGCUUCUCUGAUAUUAAUAAGCCUGCACCAGACACGGCGUUACUAGGGGUAACCUAAGAAGACCUGGAUAGUAUAUACAUAAGGACUCUGCAAACGAAGAUGAAGGCAGAGGAGCAGUCUGAAAAAAUGGUGUCUGACAUAAAAGUGCAUAUGAAGCAGAAAUGUGGAAUUGAAUUCAUGAGUUCAUCCAUGAAGAAAAAACUUCACCCACUGACAUUCAUUGGUGCUUGCUGAACUUUUAUGGAAAUCUAACAGUAGAUGUUGGCACAACAAGAUGGUGAGUGAUGAGUUUCAGCAGGGGUAGCAGCAAUGUGAAGACAAGCCAUGUUCUGGAUGGUCAUGCUCAAUGGUCACACCACAAAAUGAAGAGCGUCUUGUUAAGUUCAUCUGCACAAAUCAGUGAUUUAUAACCAGGGAACUUUGUGCAGACUGCAGUGUGUUGGAAAUGAUGUUGGCAACACAGGAAAAUUGCAAAGUUUGUGCCAGGUGGGUCCCAUGAAUGCUCACACAGGAACAGAAAGAGCACCACUUGCAAGUUUGCCAGGAUCUAUUGAACCAAUAAGAGCUUGAAGGUGAUAGCUUUCUCAAUCACAUUAUUACUGGUGAUGAGAUGUGGUGUCACCACUACAAACCAGUAUCAAAAUGUCUAUGGAGUAGCAACAUGUGAAUUCCCUG
ensembl:lncRNA